rnacentral:tRNA from 1 species
GGUAAAAUGGCAGAGAAUAAGCAUUGAAUUGUAAAUUCAAAGACAGAGACUAGAUAUCUCUUUUUACCA